rnacentral:lncRNA from 1 species
UUUUUUUUUUUUUGCCCAGAAGUUGCCAUAAUGUUUACACUAUAGUUGCCAUAGUGCUUAAACUAAAAUUGCCAUGUGGCAAUUUUAGUUUGUAGAUCAUGGCAAUUUUAAUUUUUUUAUUAUGACAAUUUUAUUACUUUGACCAUGAAAAUAUUUUUUUAUUGAACCAUGACAAUUUUAAGUGCAUGUAUUAUGGCAAUUUUAGUUUAUGAUGCAUGGCAAGUCUAGUUUCUUAAUUUUCCGUUUUAUAAUAUGUUAAAAUUUACUUUUAAAUGUAAAAAAAAAUAGUUGAAACAUAUCAUGGCAACUUCAGUGUAAAUAUCAUGGUAAUUCAUGUGCAAUAAACAUGGCAACUUUUACCAAAAAAAAUAUCACCAAAAUAUAUGGAUAUGAGAUCUAAUUUUGAAGAUCUCGUCACGAGGGAUUUAAUGGUGAAAAUAGAUCUUCAAUCGGAUUUUUCAUUUAAGAGAUAAAACAUUUAAAAAACUAAUAAUCCGAAAAGAUUCUUGCAUGCAUGCAAUGAUGUAGCAAUCUAUUUACAUUAGAGACGUGUGGUGCAUCUCUUUUUCUGCCACACGUGUGGCAGUUAUCGACGUCCUAAAAAUAUCAGUCAUGGAAAUGUCGUCCUUAGCAUACACCUCACAAAUCUUACAACUGCACAAGUUGAAAAACCAACAUGUCGCUACAGAUGGUAGACCUCACUGCUGGCAAUCAGCAUUGCCACAGUCGAAGUCGGUGCAAUGAUGGUCCUGUUGAUCCAUUGAAAAUGCAUUGUCAAGUGAAAUCAUGCGCACAACUUGGCAAGAUGAGUAGAGCACUAAGGUUGCACCCGCUUCGGUAAUGACCCGCUAGACAAGUACGGUGCCAGGCAAGCCUGCAUAAACAUGGACGAUUAUUUUGUAAGUUUCUGGCUUCAUUGUUCUUUGUUAACUCUCUUUCAUACUUCUAUCAGUCUAGCUCUCUUAAUAAACUAACAAAGGACAGACGAUUCAAAAAAAUAAACCAACUAUGCUCAUACUGAAUAUAUCAAGUUGAAUGGAACAGAAAGAUGGUCUAACUUUGAUAUAUCUAAAGCUUGGAUGCAAACGAUUCGAGCUAAGCCUAGUUCUCUCGCAUGAGAUUGUCAUGUCUGCUAGGACAUGUAAAUGGAUCAGAUGAGAAGGGGAUAAAUGUAGAAUUGAGAAGAUACUGUCUCCUUUUAACUUUUCUCUGAAUGAACGCAAACAACGACGCGGGCAAAUUACAGCCCUCCGUAACCUUCUUAAUUAUGCAAAGCCAUCAGUGGUGAAUGAUCUGGCAUUUUAUCUCCAAAAGAUACAUUCAAGCUACUGGUCAUAACCCGGUCAUAAUAAGAGCCUGUAAGUAUCAAAGCAAUCAAGAGUCUAAUAUUCUAGGUUGCAAAUCAAAAUGACUAGUAGGAUACAGAAGCAAUAACAUUGCCCUAAACAUAUUUAGAUUUUGCAGCAAAGGAUGUAAAUUGCAGUGAGAAAACUCUCCUACUUAUUCAGUUAUUUCCAAAGAAAUAAGUGAAUCCGAUGGCUUGAAUAUAGUUUGUAGAGGUAGAUACAAAUCCAAGUCUUGCAGGAAAAUUAAGUUUAUUAGCAUCAGCAGCAAUAUCUCAAGACAUAUAUACUUAUAACUUUGUAAGUUCUAUUUGCAGACUUCUAUUAGACUAGCUCGCUUAUAAACUGACAAAGGACAAACCCAUAAAAAAUUAAACCAACUAUGCUCACGAUGAUUAUAACAAGUUAAAGCAUAUUGAUAUCUAAAGCUUGAAAGCAAACUGAUCAAGCCAAGCUUAAUUUUUUAUCAUGUGCCAGAGGCCCAGAGCAAGCAAAUGAGUCAUGUGAAAAGGGCUAAAUGUAGAAUUGAGAAAAUGUUGUCCCCUUCAAUUUUUUUUGAUCAAACGGAAACAUCGACUUAAGCAAAUUCAUCUUGUUUGAAGCAAUGAUAAAACUGUCAUAGCCGCUAACCUACAUGAGGACCAAGCUCAUAACUGAUGGAUUCUUAUCUAUUGACCUACCGGAUGAUGAAACACUUCAUGACACUGCCUACUACCCAAGUCUUUAUAAGGAGCAAGGUGUAAGCAAAGGAUGGGCAGCAUAUUUCUCAUUUUACAUGUCUACCUUGGAAUUAAGUAAUCCCAUUUUAUGCAUUAUUUGUUGUGUCUCUGCGCAGUAGGGAUAUGAAUUUGAUAGGCAUAGGCAUAGAAGACACCGGGAACUACCGAUGAACCACCAGGAUCAGAACAUGCAACCGGUCGACUAGCUAUGGCGACCGUCAUCAUCAGGUGCGACUGACCCAUAGGCCACGCUCUCUCGUGAUGUCAUGAGGAAUCAGCAAAGGGACGAAAUGGGGAUCAGAGGUUGGAUGGAAUGAGAAUUGGACAAUAUUUGGUCGAUGCAAUCAUGACUGCGAAAGAGGGCUAGAAAGAGCAGACGUGUUGCCGCUUGCUGGAUAGAGAUAUCUGUGUAGAGAUCAGUGAAAGAAAUGUCUUCAGUCAUCCUUAGAAAACCACACUACGUACUUUGCUACUCCCUCCAUCCCAUAAUAUAAGAGUGUUUUUGACACUACACUUGUGUCAAAAAUGCUCUUAUAUUAUGGGGUGGAGGGAGUACUUCACAAGCAUUACACAGUUGAAAAAGCAAUCACCUCGUUGUUGGAGAUCAUUGCUGCUGACAUCUUGGUGAUAACAAUGACAUGGAUGGGUUCAUGUUGAUCCACUGACACAAUGUAGCCUCCUUCAGUAAAAGAUAUGCACAGAUUGGCAAAAUAAGUAAAACGCCAGAAAUGCAUCCGCUUCAAAAAUGACAUGCUAGACAAGUACCAUGUCAGGCACGCCUGCAAAACAUGGAAGAUUAUAUUGUGAAUCUCUUGCUACCCAAACUUGUCAAGCUUUAGUGAUUUGUAUUUGAUAAGGUCACUUCACAGAAUUCUGUUAGAUUAGCUCUCUUAAUAUAAAGACCCUCCGGGAAAAAAUAUUAAACCAACUAUGCUCACAAUGAAGAAAACAAGUUGAAGCGAAUUAGGAAAGAUGGGACUACCCCUUGACAAUAUUUAAAGCUUGGAUGCAAACUGAUUCAAGCCAAGCCUAGCUUUCUUCCGUUUAAAUGGAGAUUUAAAUGCUAAAUGUAGAAUUGAGAAGAUACUGUCUCCAUGUUUUUUUUACUGGAUGCAAACAACAACACUGGCAAAUUACACCCCUUAAUUUUGUAAAGCCAACAAUCCAACUUUGUACUAACUUUAGUACAAAGUUAGUACAAAGUUGGGUCAUCUAUUUUGGAACGGAGGGAGUACCAUUUAUCUCCAAAAGACACAUUUAAGCAACGGACUAUAACGAAAUGAGAAGAGGCUGUUAACACCAAAGCAAUCAACAGCAGUCUUAUAGGUUUUAAAGCAGAAAAAUGUGUCAAAGGAUGUUGAUUGUGUGAGAAUUCCUGUCUAUUCUGUUGUUGACAAAAAAGAAAAUGAACCCAAUGCAUAUCUCUUGAAUAUAGUUUAGAAAAGUACAUACCAAAUCCAAGUGUUGGAGGAGAAUAAGUUAAUUAGCAUGAGCAGCAAUAGGCAAUAGCUGAAGACAAGAUCUACUAAUACUGAUCCAAAUCAUGAAAAACAUGUCAGGAUGAAAUUAAAUUGCUGGGACUUCAAGUUCUGUGCAUGAUCUGUACUUGAUACAUGUGAACAUAUAACACUAUAACAGUAUGAAUGAAUUUGAUAUAUCGUGUGCAAUAUCAAAAAGAGUUAUCUCUAACUUGAAUCAGUGCAGGAAUUUUUUUACAGUAACACCCGCGUGAAAUUGAUCGGCCAGCACCAGACAAAAAAUAGAUAUUAGAACUACUGAGGAACAGAACAGUUUAGCCAAAAAAACAAUCCAUUUUUCAAUAUCUAAGAGCUGUUGCUACGGAUACCAAAUCAUGUUAUCUUGUACAGCAUUAGAAAUCAUUUUUGCAUAAUAGUUACUGACAUCUCAACGGAAAUUACCAAAUAAUAAAUAGCUGAAAAUGGUAUGAUGGAAUCAUAAGAUACACUCAUUCUAAAAAAACAGUGCAUAGAAGCUCCCACACAAGGUGGGGUAUGGGGAGGGAUUAUAGGAACCUAGUCUUACCCCUGCAACGUGCAAUGCAAAGAGGCUGGUUCAAAUCCAGGACCUCUUGGCACAAGUGGGGAGGACUUCACAACUACGCCAGGCCUGCCCUCUAUCAUUCUCAUUCCAAAUUAUGUAGUGGCGUUCUCCAGGACAGUGUUAUAUUAACUUUCAUAUUGGCUGGGUAAUUAAAAGAGUGGCCGUGAAGAAUAUCCUCGUUAAGAUCAGAACAUUCCCUCAAAAUUAGAACAUUUAGGGUAACUUUUCUUGUAAUGUUAUAAAGUGUAUGUUUCUGAAACCUUAGACAGAUACUGCCACCCACUCAUCCCAGUCUACUGAUACAGCAAGCUUCCCUACAUAUAGGUUCUUAACAUAUCGAUGACAAAGGAGCAAAAAAUGGUCACUAAAAUUUUGCCACAUUGAAUUGGACUAAAGGUGUUGAUGUUGUCAUUCAAACAGAGGAGUCCUUGCCUGAGAUAUGAAGGUGAUAUUUUUCUGUUUAAUUAAUGUGCAGAGAAAGCUAAACACCAUAAAUAGAAAACUCUAGUUCAACAGGAAUAAUUGAACAACACUACAUUCAAAUUACAUCCAACACCCCGCAAAAAGACAAAUUACAUCCAACAAAAUGGAAUUGAGUGAGACAAGCAUAGCCUACAUAAUUGGUCAUCACUUUGCCCGCUAGCUCAUUUGUCACCUCUUUUUAUUCUAAAUUAAUCCGUUCACAGAGCUAUAAUUCAAAUAGAGCAUCAUCAUCAAUGUCACAGGCACCAUCAUGAAGAACAUGGAAGUUUAGGGCGUGUCCGGGAGUCCUCCCGCUUCUCAACUCCUCAACUCCAUGUGAGGAGUGCAGCCGAACGAUCCAAAUCCUAGUUAUGAGCGAGAGAAGCUGGCGAAACUUGCAGUGCAAUUUUCGCGGAGUCGCGGAGCUAGCAAACUCGAGCUCCUCCAAAACAGCGAAGCAGGAGUUGCCAAGAAUUGCCACCACCAAGUGAGUUACCGCUUCGUUCAUUUGUAGCAAAUAUUACAAGUAUGUGCCACCGCCAAGGCAGUUACCGGUUCGUUUGUUCGCCAGAGCAGGCUUCCCACGCCUAGAUGGGCUGUCACGCCUAGUUGGGCCCUCCCGAGCUGCUAUUUCUCAUAGCUAGGUGGCUGGCGGCCUGUUUCAACGACCAGAACGAGGAGCUACUCUACCGGGCGAUUUGUAACUCCGGGAUUUUAACUGAGAAGCUGGCUGCUGGUUUUGGGCUAUGGAGUUGAGGAUUUUGAGGGUGUGGAGAGCUACCGAACACGCCCGUAGUUUUGCAAAAUUUCUCACUAACCAAACUUGUCAAGCUUCGGCAGUCUGUACUUUGUAAGGUCCCCUUACAGAGUUCGGUUAGACUAGCUCUCUUAAUGAACCAACGAAGUGAAGAUCCUUCGGAAAAAAGUAAACCAAGUAUGCUCACAACUAAUAUAACAAGUUUAAGCGAAUUAGGAUAGAUGAUCUAACCUUAACAAUACAUAAAGCUUGGAUGCAACUGAUUCGAGCUAAGCCUAGUUUCCAGGAGAUCAUCUGCUAGAACCUGCACCAAUUGGGAAGAGCUGCAAAAGUAAGCAUGUAAGUGAAUCAGGUGAAAAAAGGGUAAAUGGACAUUUAAUUGCUAAAUGUACAUAUUGUCUCCAUUUUUUCUUUGACUGGAUGCAAACAGCAACACUGGCAAACUAUACCCCUUAAUUAUGCAAAGCCACCAGUCCCGCCGAUUACCUCCAAAAGACACACUUAAACAUCCGAAGAUAACUCAGUAAGGACAAGAGUGUGUUAGCACCAAAGCAAUCAACAGUCUAAUAGUACAGGUUUCGAAGCAGGAGAAUGUGUCAAAGGAUGUAACUAGCGAUGAGAACUCUCCUACUUAUUAGGUUGUUGACAAAGAAAGUAAAUGAAUCUAAUGCAUAUAUCUUGAAUAUAGUUUGGAGUAGAUACCAAAUCCAUGUCUCACAGGAGAACAAGGUAAUUAGCAUCAGCAGCAAUAGAUUAAGACAGAUAUACUUGUUUUGAUCAGCAUUGCAUCAUGAAAAAACAUGUCCAGGAUGAAAUUAAAUUACUAGGACUUUAACUCCUGUGCAUAAUCUGUACUUGGUACAAGUGAACAAAAAUUAACAGUAUGAAAUAACAGCAUAGUGAUUUUUUUUGCAGGAACUCACGCGUGAAAUUGAUUGGCCAGCGCCAGGCAGGAAGUAGAUAUUAGAGAAUUCGUGUGUAGAUAACAGAUUGGCCAAAAAUUCCAUCAACAACACAUUUUUCAAUCAAGUGAACAUAUCUACAAAUCGCUAUUAUGGAGAUUAACACUUAUUCCCAUUGCAAAUUAUGCAGUGGCAUUCUCCAGAAGGACAGUGCUUAUUUACUUGCAUAUUGACUUGGUAAUUAAAAGAUUAGUCUUGAGGAAUAUACAUGUGAACAUCAGGACAUGGAUGGUAUCAUUUUCUCUAGUGUUAUAAAGUGUGUGUUUCUGAAAACUCAGAUGUACUAUUACCUACAUAUAGGUUUUAAACAUAUCAAUGACAAAAGAGUCUUUUUGCCAUAUUGAACUGGACUGAAGUUAUUGGUCAAACAGGAGAUAUAGAGGUGAUACUUUUCUAUUUAAGUAAUAUGCAAGAGAAAGCUAACAGCAUAAGCAGAAAACACUAGUUCAAUGGGAAUAACUGAAAAACACUACGUUCAAAUUACAUCCAACAAAAUGGAAUUGACUAAUUGAGUGAGACAAGCUCAACCUACAAAGUUGGUCAUCAUUUUGCCUGCUAGCUCACUCACCACCUCUUUCUGUCCUAAAUCAACCCAUUCACAGAGCUAUUCAAAGGGAGCAUAAUCCAUC